CAAUGCAUUUUGGCCAAGAUUUUCAGGCCUAAAACUUCCAGUUCUUGCUAAAGUGGCCCGACCCAACAUCUUUCCCUCCCUCUUCUUCCAAGAUUCUAAAAUUAACUAAAAUCUAACAAUAGGUGCAAGAAAUCGAAAAUAACCCAGAUGGGGGAAAAAGGCAAGAAAUGAGAGAUCUAGCAAUGAAGUUGAUUUAUGGAUCUUGAAACGAAUCAAACAAAACAAGAAACCAAGAAUGCAAGACCCAGUGGCAGCUAAAUCUAGUAUAAAUAAUAUACUUGCAUAUAUAUGAAGAUCAAGGCAAAGCACUAAAGCAGAUUCAUACCUUUCUCUGUGUCGCUGAGUCUGACUUUGUUUCUGUGUUUCUUAGCUAAGGAGGAUGUGUAUCAAGUGAGGAUGAGCUGGG
rnacentral:misc_RNA from 1 species